rnacentral:rRNA from 1 species
CCUACGGGGGGCAGCAGUGGGGAAUAUUGCACAAUGGGGGAAACCCUGAUGCAGCGACGCCGCGUGAGUGAAGAAGUAAUUCGUUACGUAAAGCUCUAUCAGCAGGGAAGAAAUACUGACCUUACGGUCAGCAGACGGUACCUGAGUAAGAAGCCCCGGCUAACUACGUGCCAGCAGCCGCGGUAAUACGUAGGGGGCAAGCGUUAUCCGGAUUUACUGGGUGGAAAGGGAGCGUAGACGGUGCGCCAAGGCUGGAGUGAAAUGCCGCAGCUUAACUGCGGAACUGCUUUGGAAACUGGCGAACUAGAGUGCGGGAGGGGUAAGCGGAAUUCCUAGUGUAGCGGUGAAAUGCGUAGAUAUUAGGAGGAACACCGGUGGCGAAGGCGGCUUACUGGACCGUAACUGACGUUGAGGCUCGAAAGCGUGGGGAGCAAACAGGAUUAGAUACCCGGGUAGUC